CAAAGUGUAGCUUAAAUUAAAGCAUCCGGCCUACACCCAGAAAAUUUCAACCCACUUGAACACUUUGA
rnacentral:tRNA from 1 species